UGAAGGACACGACACAAAAGUGAAUUGGUUUGCAUUACAUAUGCUAUCAACUCCAUCCUCCUCUCAGUAUUCCAUAGUUUUAAAAGCAGCAUAGCAUUUGACAGAGUUCAUUAACUAUUGGAACUGGCUUCAGGAAUCUGUUUCUCCUGCAAGAGUUGAUGGUAUCACUGGCAUCUAAAGCAGUGGUUCUCCUCCAAGUGGUACAUGUAACCCUGGAGGUUUGGUGAUACCAGCAAUUCUUGGAGAAACACAGAACCCUAAACUCAGAUCUCAGCGGUAAAACCCUUUGUUUACUCUUGAAUGAAUUUGUAACUUUAAAGCAAGUCCAGCACUCUGUAAUGUUGUCAGAUCUUACAUGUUUUUUUGUAUGCCCUGGAGAAUUUGAAUUGAAAUGCUUUUCAAAAUAACUUUAAAAAAGUGGUAGUUACUUAUGGGUUAUUCUUAUUUGAAUAAGAAUAGAGCGGGUGGGAAAGUGUCAUUCCCAGCCCCUGGAAUACAGCAUUCUCUGAGGAAAACACAUUGACAUCA